ensembl:lncRNA
UUUGCAGAUGAUGGGAGGGGGCAAGUUUAAUAGAAUAAGAAGGUAGGGAAGAGGCAGACAGUGUAUUUUGAUUUUAGCAAAGUAUGUGAUGAAAUACCUCGUGUUAUUUUUAUGGACAUAAUGAAAGGUGGAAUUCUUAUUUAGCCAUCUGAAUCCAAAAGAUGGUCUUAGAAAAGAAGGCCCAUGUUUGAUCUGUGAUUCCAGAAGUCAAACUAGGAUCAAAGGUUGGAAAUGAUGGAAAAGCAGAUUUUUAACUCAGUGUAAGUCUGACCUUUCAAAGAGUAAGGGAUGUCCCGAAGCUGCUUUGGAAUUAGGACACAGAUGAGUGAAAUUGAUGCAGCAGAUGGUGAAUGUUUGGGGGCCUGACCUCAUCCACCAUGAUAAUCUAGGAUUAUAUGAUUCAGGAGAAAGAACUGAACAUGAUGUACCAUUUUCUCUCUAUGAUUUGGUACUGAUCUCUCUUGAUAAUAAAGGUGAUAUCAAUCACCCAGGUGAGAAGCCCCCAAUCUUCACUCACUCCCCCGCUCCCUUACCUUCACAUUCCAUCCAUCCUCAAGUGCCUUCUCAUUUCCACUCCUACUGUUGCCCUAGUCAGGCACCAUCCCUUGCCUGAACUGUUGCAUUGGCCUCUGCAUUGUUCUCCCAAACUUCGGGUGUCUUCCCCCACAACUUCAUUCUUUGUGUGUGGUCGGAAUGACACUUUAGAAAACAUGUUAUACCAAGGCCCUCUUCUCAGAUCUCCACCGGCCUUUCUUUCCCCAAAGAGAAGCUCCACAAUUCUUAGACUGUUCCCAUGGCUCCAGCCUCCUUUUCUGCAUAUCUGCCCUGCUCCAGGCAUGAAUGCAGGCUCAGGCCUCUUGUUUAGUCCAGCUUUUAGUACUUUCUCAAGGGCUGCAUCUCCUAAGAAACCUCCUUGCUUUCCCAAGCAAGAAUCAUUACAUUUCUGCCUUUAUUCCCACACAAUAACUUCUCUCGUUAAUUAAAUAAUUCAUUUACUUUUUAUUUCUUUGUUUCAAUUUUUCAUUCUUUAAACAUUUACUCUUGGUGCCUACAGUGGCCUAGUUUUAUGCUUGGUGUUAGAGGAAGUGAGCAGGGAGUUCCUGUUGUGGUGCAGUGGAAACGAAUCUGAGCAGUAUCCAUGAGAAUGUGGGGGUUUGAUCCCUGGCCUUGCUCAGUGGGUUGGGGAUCUGGCAUUGAUGUGAUCUGUGGUGUAGGUUGCAGACGCUGCUUGGAUCCCAUGUUGCUGUGGCUGUGGUGUUGGCUUGCGUCUGUAGCUCCUAUUCAACCCCUAGCCUGGGAACUUCCAUAUGUUGUGGGUGCAACCCUAAAAAGCAAAAAAAUAAAAAUAAAAUUUAAAAAAUAGAGGAAGUGAGCAGAGAAAGAGUAGCAUUAACUUAUUAUGUGACAGAUACUGUGAUAUGUGCUUUAUAUCCAUUACCCCAACCAUAAUCCAGUGAGAUAGAUACUAUUAUUAUGAGAUCAUCCCAAUGAAAUAUCUCUAUGAUAUAGCUAUCGUUAUUAUCCUUAUUUUAAAGAUGAGGAGACUGAGGUUUACAGAAGUUAACCUGUUCACCCAACCAAGAUCAUGCAGUUGGCAAGAGCCUGGGCUGGGUUUUAUACCCAGAUGAUCUGACUCCAUAGUUGAAGUUUCGUCACUCUGCUAGGACAUAUUUUCAUGAUAGAUGAAUGGGCACCAAUAAAACCUUGCCCUCAAAGGGUUCACAGAUUGGUGUGCUGCUAGCCGCUGAAUGUCUACUUAGCAUUGUUCAUUUAUUUCUGCGUGAGACCACAUUUAGCCAUUUCCAUGUCGAGCCCAUCCAGUGGAUUUUUAAGCUCUUUAAGGGCAGACAUGGCACCAUACCAUCUCCCAGGCACAGAGUUAUUCGAAACAUGUUUGCAGGUGGAGGUACCAAAUCAUUAAAUGUGUCAGACCAACUAUGCUGCAAGUUUUCCUGGGUGAUAGGAUUUCAUUCUCUCUAGCUCUGGGCCCCGCACAAUGGGGACAUUGACAAGCCAGUGCACAUUCACCAAGAAAGUGGAGGGGGCUGUUUUGAGUGCUAUUUAUGAACACUCCCUUCCUUGGCAUUUAUUUGGAAAGUAUUAAAAUAACCUGUGAAUGUGUUAGAAGAUCUUUCUGUUCCCUACUUUAUAAAUAAUUAUUUCAGUCUUGAACAAAGCUGUUUUUUCCUUCUGCAUGGUGCAUAGCAUUUAUAUUCUGAUAAUCCUUAUCAUAUUAAUAAUAAGAAAGCACAUUACAGCUGUAAAAAUGGCAUUAAGUGAUAAAAGUUUUCCAAAGUAAGUAGGUACAGUAGGUACAGUGAAAUGGAGACACAUGCUACUGUACCCAGUAAUUGUUCAUGGCCAACAUUUAUUGAGAGCUGGCCAUGUGCCUGGCACAGUUUUGAGUGCUUUCCAUUUUUAAGUCAUUUAUGCCAUUGCCCCAUCUUAUAGCUGAGGGAUGUGGUCCUUUAACUACAGGUCUCUAUUGAGCAUUUACUGCAGUCUAUUACUUUCCCAUCAGCUGGUUCUUCAAAGGCAAGAACAGUGUCUGGUGCAGCUUCAUACCUUGGAGCUUGGCAGGUUCCUGUUAGGACAGAACCCCACUGCUGUGUCAGAAAACAGGGUUCCUCCCCUAUCUGUGCAGCUGGGAAGGCUCACUGAACACUGUGGUCUUGCUCUCCAAGGAGAGCCAAUGCAGCCUUCUGGGGCUGACCCAGGGGACUCUAAAUUAUCAGAGUGGUUCCCCAGGAGAAUAAGCUGAGUUGAAGAUCAGCUGUUGAGCACGGAAACAAGGUGUGGAGUUAGGUGGCUGGGAGAUGUCAUAGCCUCAUCCUAAGAUGGCUCGGAAGGUGUACUCUUGACCGUGGACCAUAGUUCUCAAGGUCUGUGGUCAGGUGUUGGAUGGACUCACUGGGAGAGGAACUGCUCCCGGCCCUCCUUCCUGUUAUGCUUCCAUCUCCCAUUAAGCCCCCUUUGGCUGCACAAUUUCCUCCUAUGGAGAUGUUAACCCUUUUAGUCAAACUCUUGCUCAGUCUCGGUACCUUUUUCGUGACUUUAAUGUGACUUUGCCUUUCUCUGUUUUGACCCGAAACAUGCUGAUUUUACAGUUUUAGUCUUUAUUUUUCUUUUUUAAAAAUUAUGUUUAUAGUUCUACAACCAUCAUCACAACCUCAUUUUAGAACAUUUCAAUUGCAAACCCCCAGUCCAUCCCUCCCCCUCAACCUGUCUCCUUUGGUAACCAUAAGUUUUUCAAAGUCUGUGAGUCUGUUUCUGUUCUGCAAACAAGUUCAUUGUAUCCGUCCUUCAGAUUACAUAUAUAAGUGAUGUCAUAUGAUGUUUGUGUCUCACUGUCUAACUUCACUUAGCAUGAUAAUUUCUAGGUCCAUCCAUGUGGCCGCAAAUGCCAUCAUCAGCCACAUUACUCAUUAUGGCUGAGUAAUAUUCCAUUGCAUAUAUGUACAUAUGUCCAUUCAUCUGUCAGUGGACAUUUAGGUUGCUUCCAUGUCUUGGCUGUUGUAUGUGGUGCUGUAAUCAACAUUGGGGUACAUGUAUCUUUUCAAAUUAUGGUUUUCUCUGGAUAGAAGCCCAGGAGUGGGAUUGCUGAAUCAUAUGGUGGUUCUGUAUUUAGCUUUUUAAGGAACCUCCACACUGCUCCCCAUAGUGGUUACACCAAUUUACAUUCCCACCAAUAGUGUAAAUUUUCUCCACACCCUCUCCACAAUUUAUUGUUUGUAGACUUUUGGAUGAUGGCCAUUCUGUUAUUUUAUUUUCUAAUUUUAUUGGGGUAUAGUUAACUUACAGUGUUGUAAUAGUUUCAGCCAUUGUCUUUAGGCGAUGGCAUGGCCACCACUGGAGUCAGAUGCGCUGUCGCAGGCUGCCUUAGUUCUUUCCUAACAUGUUGGGGCAGAGUGCACCCUGAGACUGCCCCUACUUUGCUGUGCAGCUUGCCAGGGGUUUUCACACAGAGGCUAUCCCCCAUCUUGCAGUGUUUCUCUGCUUGGCCCUGGGGUCCUUCUUCUUUGGCCAUGUUUUUCUCUCUCCACACAGAAGCUUUCUUGUACACCACCCCCAACAGUACUUAUAAUCACUUCUCCGGAGACCAGCACUAUAAUCUCGUAUCUAAUUCACCGUCUUCUUUUUCAUUUUCCUGUCUCCUUCAUUUUACUCUUGCCCUGAGCCUGUCUUUCCCUCUCAACACAGGCCAUUUCUUCAAAUAUGCCAGAUUGGCACAGUCCCCUUCCCGCCUCUGUAAGCUGCACCUCCUCUUUCUCUGCCUGUCAUUUACUUCUUUAUCUGGGAGCACAUCCCAUUUAUUAUUAAAUUUCAUUUAUACAGAUCUCAGGCCCCUGCGUGUGAUUUCCCGGCUCUCAGCUGGUUGGAUACCUCUUUUCUGUUCCCAGUUGCAAGCAGACGUUAGUAAUCAACACAGAGCUUCUCUGAUAAUCAAAUUAGACAAGUGGGACUCUGCCUUUAUUUUCUUCUUAAUCAUUGGGCGUGAUAGUAAUAAUGUCAGCUCGAAUAAUCUGGCAGGGUGAACCUUUCUCCAUGUUAUUUAUUUAUUUUUCCCAGAUCUACUUCAGUAUCACCCUACAGCCAGAGAAUGCAAACUAUGUCCUCAUCCAGACUGGGUUUAGAAUCUUGAUUGUGGACAAUUUUCUCUUCCUUCAGGAGAGAGGCUGCCACUGCUACUCUGCUCUUUGCUAGUGGGUGGAGCAGCCUAGGGAGGGGAGAAAGGAGAGCUGGCAGCAUCUGCCUCCAAUUCCUCUGGCGACCUUGGCCAAGUCACUUUUCUCAGUUGCAAAACAAGGGCUCUGUUCUCCAACCCUCUCCACUGGGAUGUAAGGGGACAAUGAGAUAAUGUUUCUGGAGCCCUUGAAGCCACUUAGCUUAAGGAUGCUGUGUAGAGAGUGAAGUGUCUGUAGAAAUGCAGUGGUAAAUACACAGUGAAAUUAACGAAUGUGAAACGUUGACAAUGAGAAGGGACCUUCCUGCAGGAGGCACAGAGCUCUGGCUUUCUGAUGUGACAAUAAAACCAAGUGGUCCAGGGGGAAGCUGGGGCCCUAAAAGGCCACAUCUCUCCUCAAGUGGCUGAUAAAAGGGGUACCAGAAGUCAAGAUAGCAUCUGUGUAUAUUCAAAAUUAGAUGUAUGCUGCUAUGGUACAGUGGAGAUGGCAUUUGAUUUGAAGAUUAAAAAAUUUUUGGAUAUUUAUGACUUGUUGUUGACUUUGGGUAUGUCAUUUAACCUAAAUCUCAUUUUUAAUCUGUAAAAUGGGGGUAAUGAUACUGCCUCACAGGGUUUUUUCCCAGGAUAUAAGGAAGAAUACUAAAACAGUGGUGUGCUGGUGAACUGGAUCU